GAGCAGGGGGACACUCAGCUACAGAGUGAGUGAGGGGACAGUGAGCUGGGGGGACACUCAGCUACAGAGUGAGUAGGGGCAGUGAGUGAGUGAGGGCAGUGAGUGAACAUUAGACAGUGAGUGAGUGAGGGCAAUGAGUGAGGGGGCAGUGAGUGAGCAUUAGACAGUGAGUGAGGAUUAAACAGUGAGUGAGAGGGGGUAUUAGACAGUGAGUGAGGGCAGUGAGUGAGGAUUAGACAGUGAGUGAGGAUUAGACAGUGAGUGAGGGGGCAGUGAGUGAGGAUUAGACAGUGAGUGAGGGGGCAGUGAGUGAGGAUUAGACAGUGAGGGAGGGGGCAGUGAGUGAGGAUUAGACAGUGAGUGAGAGGGCAGUGAGUGAGGAUUAGACAGUGAGUGAGGGCAGUGAGUGAGGAUUAGACAGUGAGUGAGAGGGAGGAGGGAGGAGUAGACAGUGAGUGAGGAUUGUGAUUGCUUUUGUUUUUAGAGCAGUGAGUGAGUGAGGAGUGAGUGAGGGCAGUGAGUGAGGAUUAGACAGUGAGUGAGAGGGCAGUGAGUGAGGAUUAGACAGUGAGUGAGUGAGGAUUAGACAGUGAGUGAGUGAGGGCAGUGAGUGAGGAUUAGACAGUGAUGAGGGUAUUAGACAGUGAGUGAGGAUUAGACAGUGAGUGAGGAUUAGACAGUGAGUGAGGGCAGUGAGUGAGGAUUGGGCAGUGAGUGAGUGAGGGCAGUGAGUCAGGAUUAGACAGUGAGUGAGGGGACAGUGAGGAUUAGACAGUGAGUGAGGAUUAGACUGUGAGUGAGGGGGCAGUGAGUGAGGGAGCAGUGAGUGAGGAUUAGACAGUGAGUGAGGAUUAGACAGUGAGUGAGGAGGCAGUGAGUGAGAGGCUGAUUAGACAGUGAGAGGAGGCAGUUAGUGAGAGAGGGUAUUAGACUGUGAGAGGAGGAAGUGAGUGAGAGGGGGUAUUAGACUGUGAGAGGAGGAAGUGAGUGAGAGGGGGUAUUAGACAGUGAGAGGAGGAAGUGAG
rnacentral:lncRNA from 1 species